rnacentral:sRNA from 1 species
UUCUCAAGAGAGACAAAUAACACGAAUUGAUGAAGCUCGGCUUAACUUCGACAAAGCUACUUUUAAUUUUUUUCGAAGGUUCUGUAAAAAAAAUUCAGAUCCAAACAGCGAUUUCAACAUGACGAUUUCUUUUAGGUUUAUUAAUUUGAUUAGCUUUUGUUAUUGUGUGGUCAAUUUGAUUGGGGGAUUCAAACCUAAAUUUGAGAAAGCAAAAAAAAACGAAUCCAGAUUUGGCGAAGAAGAUGAAGUCCCAAAAAAAAAAAACGAAUACAAAGACGUAAGCGAGAUUCGUACCCAGGUUAAACAUGAAUUGAAUAUCAUAUUUUGCCUUGACUAAGAUAACUUAAUUGUAAAAUUUUGGAAAUAGAUUGUAUAUAUAUUUGUAAAUACGAUGGGUUAAACUUUAACUACAGUUAGAAAGUCUGUUAAAAAGUUAACAGCAGUUAAGUUGGAUGUCUGAUUUUAUCAAAUUAAACAAAAAUGAAGGUUUUUAAAGAGAAAAAUAAUUAAC